rnacentral:rRNA from 1 species
AUUGAACGCUGGCGGCAUGCCUUACACAUGCAAGUCGAACGGCAGCACGGGAGCAAUCCUGGUGGCGAGUGGCGAACGGGUGAGUAAUAUAUCGGAACGUGCCCGAGAGUGGGGAUAACGAGGCGAAAGCUUUGCUAAUACCGCAUACGAUCUCAGGAUGAAAGCAGGGGACCGCAAGACCUCGCGCGAUUGGAGCGGCCGAUAUCAGAUUAGGUAGUUGGUGAGGUAAAGGCUCACCAAGCCGACGAUCUGUAGCUGGUCUGAGAGGACGACCAGCCACACUGGGACUGAGACACGGCCCAGACUCCUACGGGAGGCAGCAGUGGGGAAUUUUGGACAAUGGGCGCAAGCCUGAUCCAGCAAUGCCGCGUGCAGGAUGAAGGCCUGGUUGUAACUAGCUUUUGUACGGUACGAAACGGUGAGCUCUAAUACAGUUGCUAAUG